rnacentral:rRNA from 1 species
CUGGGACUGAGAUACGGCCCAGACUCCUACGGGAGGCAGCAGUGGGGAAUAUUGCACAAUGGGCGCAAGCCUGAUGCAGCGACGCCGCGUGAGGGAUGACGGCCUUCGGGUUGUAAACCUCUUUCAGUAGGGACGAAGCGCAAGUGACGGUACCUAUAGAAGAAGGACCGGCCAACUACGUGCCAGCAGCCGCGGUAAUACGUAGGGUCCGAGCGUUGUCCGGAAUUACUGGGCGUAAAGAGCUCGUAGGUGGUUUGUCGCGUUGUUCGUGAAAACUCACAGCUCAACUGUGGGCGUGCGGGCGAUACGGGCAGACUUGAGUACUGCAGGGGAGACUGGAAUUCCUGGUGUAGCGGUGGAAUGCGCAGAUAUCAGGAGGAACACCGGUGGCGAAGGCGGGUCUCUGGGCAGUAACUGACGCUGAGGAGCGAAAGCGUGGGGAGCGAACAGGAUUAGAUACCCUGGUAGUCCACGCCGUAAACGGUGGGUACUAGGUGUGGGUUUCUUUCCUUGGGAUCCGUGCCGUAGCUAAC